rnacentral:lncRNA from 1 species
CAGCAGGUCUGGAGACUCCAUACAUCUCCCUAAAUCAGCAGGUCUGGAGACUCCAUACACCUCCCUAUAUCAGCAGGCCUGGAGACUCCAUACACCUCCCUAUAUCAGCAGGUCUGGAGACUCCAUACACCUCCCUAUAUCAGCAGGUCUGGAGACUCCAUACACCUCCCUAUAUCAGCAGGCCUGGAGACUCCAUACACCUCCCUCUAUCAGCAGGCCUGGAGACUCCAUACACCUCCCUGUAUCAGCAGGCCUGGAGACUCCAUACACUUCCCUAUAUCAGCAGGUCUGGAGACUCCAUACACCUCCCUAUAUCAGCAGGUCUGAAGACUCCAUACACCUCCCUAUAUCAACAAAUAUUUCUGUGAAAUUAGUGUAGUUGAAGCCAAAAGCUAUUACUUCUAAACUACUUGAGAUCAAAACCCCCAAAACGGUGUUGGCAGGAUGUGCAUCGG